GGAUUCAAACCUAUUCCGGUUUAUAGGCAUUGCGGCUUUUAAAGGGGCACAUUUUAAAUUGAACCGCCCGUGAAUGUGGUCUCCACCAACCCCUGAACAACACCUUCAUCCCUUUAACUGGCACACCAAGAGAAACAAUAUCACCAAAAGGGUUCUGUAUGUGUAUUUAGCCUCAAUAUGGGCCGUAAAUUAAUCAUUUUUGACUACAUGACUUAAACUUUGAUAGAGAAUGCAUCACAAACAUCUCAACCCCGUUGGUUGACCUGACCAAUCAGGGUAAACUGAUUUAGUGUUGGAUUUGCAUAGACUUUUUAAAUCAUCUAAAAAAAAAUGAUCCAUUCAUUUACAUUGUCUGCUGAAGAUAGGCCUAAUUAAAUCGGGACUGAUAUCUAUAUAUUAACAAAAUAUUAUACAUUUGUGUAUAAUAUUUAAAUGCAUGUCAAUUUAUAUUUUAUAUUUUACAGUUUAUAUGUUUAGAACACAAUUAAAAUGACAUGUGCUGAAUAUAUAGUGAAACACAUGGAAGAUGACAGGCAGUAAAUAAUGAUAUGCAUUUUGAAAGGAUUUUUGUAUUUGCGCAGACCAGGAAAUCCCAUAACAAUAUGUCUCUAUUGUCCGUCAUCACUAGCUUUGAUUUCAUUCCUUUAAUGGGCAACUCAAUAUGUCUCUCUUGUCCGUCAUCACUAGCUUUGAUUUCAUGGCUUUACUUUAAUGGGCAACUCAAUAUGUCUCUAUUGUCUGUCAUCACUAGCUUUGAUUUCAUGGCUUUAAUGGGCAUCUCAAUAUAUCUCUAUUGUCUGUCAUCACUAGCUUUGAUUUCAUGGCAUUCCUUUAAUGGGCAACUCACCGACCUGCUAAAGCAGAUGUUUCAAAUUGUAAAACAACGUUAGAAAUGAAAUGCUCUUAAAUUAUGUUUUAGAGGUCAACAGCAUUUUGCAACCUUGUCAUUUCACAUUUUAAACACACAAUUAGCCCCUACGACCCUAGUACCCUACCGCUAGCCCCUAUAACCCUAGAAUGAUACCGCUAGCCCCUAUAACCCUAGUAGCCCCUUUAAGGGUUUAAAAGGGCCGAUGGUAUUGAAUCCCAGCCUUAUACGUUGACGAUAUGUUUCUGAUUGACUACUGUAGCAACAAGGCUGAGGAGUUGCAUCAUCUACCCAGGGAUGAACUGAAGAGAGAUCUGACAUGUUUAUACCGUUAGAGUCCAGUAUCAGAGUAAGGAUAUGGGCCGCAGACGGCCAACACUGAAACGCGGACAUUUUGGUUCCUUUAUACGAUCUGCUGCUUUCUAGGACUGUCUGUGUGUAUCACCUCUGCUUGUCAUCCGAACCCCUCCAAGGUAAUGGAAGCUCCUGUAGCUUUCAGUGACCUCACCAAUAAACACUUCCUGCUAACAGACUCUGGUCCCUGGAUGUAUUUCUGUUCGUCACACGUGCAGAAGACCCUGGACACCACGUAUCAAACUCCAGGCCUUGAGGGCCUUGUGUGUCUGGGGUUUUUCUCUCUUCACUUGAUUUGAUCAAUUAAGGUCCUUAAUGAGUUAGACUACCAGCCAAGGGGACUUCCUGUGUCGUAACUGGACAGGAAAUAAGGUUGUCUCUACACUGACAUGGGACUUCUGCGACCAGAAUAGAAGAUCACAUUGAAAAGACGGGUUCUACACGCACACAAGUGUUCUUCCUGUUCAGAUCUGUCUUGACCAUUUCAGGUGGUGGUCGGGGAUGUGCGCAGGUUUCCUCCUCAGUCUGGACCCAAUCGGGCUCCUGAAAGAGCAUACAGUGGUGACGUCAUUAGCGCACUUCCCACAAGAAGAAAAUGUGUGUUUUGGAGGUUGGUAGUACCAGAGUGUCCUCUGGGCGCUUCGCUCUCGGAGCGUUCACAGCGUUCACACUGGACGCUCUGGCCGAGGAGGAGAGUUGAUCCUGACCUCACACCAGCAGUCACCCACCCAAGCUAACUGGCUAAAGUUGGCUAGCUACACUAUUAAUGGAGGUGUGGAGGAGGUGUGUCUACAGAUCCACUGUAUUAAUGGAGGUGUGUCUACUGAUACACUGUAUUAAUGGAGGUGUGGAGGAGGUGUGUCUACAGAUCCACUGUAUUAAUGGAGGUGUGUCUACAGAUACACUGUAUUAAUGGAGGUGUGGAGGAGGUGUGUCUACUGAUACACUGUAUUAAUGGAGGUGUGGAGGAGGUGUGUCUAUAGAUACACUGUAUUAAUGGAGGUGUGUCUAUAGAUCCACUGUAUUAAUGGAGGUGUGGAGGAGGUGGGUCUACAGAUACACUGUAUUANNNNNNNNNNCCGCAGACGGCCAACACUGAAACGCGGACAUUUUGGUUCCUUUAUACGAUCUGCUGCUUUCUAGGACUGUCUGUGUGUAUCACCUCUGCUUGUCAUCCGAACCCCUCCAAGGUAAUGGAAGCUCCUGUAGCUUUCAGUGACCUCACCAAUAAACACUUCCUGCUAACAGACUCUGGUCCCUGGAUGUAUUUCUGUUCGUCACACGUGCAGAAGACCCUGGACACCACGUAUCAAACUCCAGGCCUUGAGGGC
rnacentral:lncRNA from 13 species